rnacentral:lncRNA from 1 species
CCAAAUGACAACAACAAAGAUGUCAUAGUGGAAAUUCUCCAAAAAAACAAACCAUCAUAACACUUGUUGAAGUUCCAAUUAGCAUACACAUAAAAAAAAUAUAAGAACAAUAAAUAUUAUCACUUCUUCUUGUUUUCCCUUUGUGGCAUCCCUGGUCUGAGAAUGAAGCUCAUGAAGUUAGGUUUUAUCAUCCUUGGUGAAGGUCCAGCUAGGAAUGGUAUCCUGAUAGGUGCAGUAGGCCUAGUUAGAAGAGGCCUAAAUGUAGGUGUUGGCUGAACAGACACGAAAUUUGGUUCCUGCAACUAAUGAAUUUAAUGACAAUAAUUAGUGUAGGUCAUGCAUGCUACAAUAUGCAAAGAAUAAGGGAUUUAACUCAACUUGUGGUAGAAGACUUGUUUGCACUGUUAUAGGCUUAGGUUGACCUCCAGAGUCAACCAUUGACACUGUUGGAGGUUGUUCUGCAGUGGAUGCAAAUUGAGAACAAUCAAUCUCAUCCUAUAAGAGUUAAAGACAAAUAUAAGUAAAGCUCCAACAUGCAUAAUAUAACAAUAACAAAAACAAAAAACAAAAUUUAUUUUUACAACUUGUUAAGAUUGGGUGUUAUCAGACUCUUCAAGUGGUGGUGGUUGCCAAUUUUUGGGUCUUGGUGGAAUACCACCAUUUGUACAUCCCCUACAGUUGUGACCAGAAAGAUUACAUCUUUUGUCAGUGGUUUUCUUGUAAGUUCUUUCGAGUCUACUACUGUUGACUUGACCUUUAUUCUAAUCCCUUCUAGAUUUC